UGCGCCCUACGGGACGCAGCAGUAGGGAAUCUUCCACAAUGGGCGAAAGCCUGAUGGAGCAACGCCGCGUGGGUGAAGAAGGUCUUCGGAUCGUAAAACCCUGUUGUUAGAGAAGAAAGCGCGUGAGAGUAACUAUUCACGUUUCGACGGUAUCUAACCAGAAAGCCACGGCUAACUACGUGCCAGCAGCCGCGGUAAUACGUAGGUGGCAAGCGUUAUCCGGAUUUAUUGGGCGUAAAGGGAACGCAGGCGGUCUUUUAAGUCUUAUGUGAAAGCCUUCGGCUUAACCGGA
rnacentral:rRNA from 1 species